rnacentral:tRNA from 1 species
UAUUUAAAUAGUUUAAAGAAAAACAUUGAUUUGUGGUGUCAAAAAUAUAAUUUUUUAUUUUAAAUAU